rnacentral:ncRNA from 1 species
GGUCGGGAGUACGAAGGUCAUACAAUACCCGUAAGGGAAAAGCCUUCUGCCGUUUCCUGUGAACGGUUUGAGAACUCCUGACCUUUUUUAU